GACGAACGCUGGCGGCGUGCUUAACACAUGCAAGUCGAACGGAAAGGCCCUGCUUUUGUGGGGUGCUCGAGUGGCGAACGGGUGAGUAACACGUGAGUAACCUGUCCUUGUCUUUGGGAUAACUUCAGGAAACUGGGGCUAAAACCGGAGAGGAGCUCUUGCUGCACGGUGGGGGUUGGAAAGUUUCGGCGGUUGGGGAUGGACUCGCGGCUUAUCAGCUUGUUGGUGGGGUAGUGGCUUACCAAGGCUUUGACGGGUAGCCCGCCUGAGAGGGUGACCGGCCACAUUGGGACUGAGAUACGGCCCAGACUCCUACGGGCGGCAGCAGUGGGGAAUAUUGCACAAUGGGCGGAAGCCUGAUGCAGCAACGCCGCGUGCGGGAUGACGUCCUUCGGGUUGUAAACCGCUUUCGCAUGUGACGAAGCGUGAGUGACGGUAAUGGAUAAAGAAGCACCGGCUAACUACGUG
rnacentral:rRNA from 1 species